rnacentral:lncRNA from 1 species
GGGGAGGGACGGAUUCCUAAGCCCGGGCCAUAGAGGAGGAGGGAGCCAAGUGGGAGGAGCGGAAGAGCGCAGAUUGGAAGAUCUGCGUAGAGAAACACAGAAGUUUGGGGAAGGGGAGGGGUCCGGGUGAAUUCCUCUCGGCUGCCACCCGCGUGUUCUACAACGGCCAGGGCACCGGAGCCUCCGGAGCUGGGACAGGAGUGAAUCCCAACGGAGCUGGACUGGAGCGAGAACGGUGCUGCCACCCGCCGCUCGCCCUUGGGAAUGUGGCUCCCCAGGUCCAGUGACCCUUUGGCCUGGGACCUGUGGGUGGCUGACUGGUCCCGUGGGUGACUGACUGGUGUAGACCGUAAACACCCGGAGUCACUGUCUCUGGGGGCUUGGACGGAUUCCUGGGGUCUGGGACGCAUGAAGUAGCAGAGGGCGGCGAAGGGCACAACGCGCAGGGCUAGAUGUGUCUGGCCGCGGUGCUCCACGAGGCCCUUGUCUAGGAGAAGCAAGCAGAGCCUGGUCGAUCACCCUCAGCCCAAGUCCGGCGCUGGAUGCCCUUUAUUUUUGCAGUCCUCCAUACCCGCCUCAGGCCUCGCUUUCCCGAGAGGAGGAGGCGGACUUCGGGAGCCUGAUCUCAAGCUAUGCUUGGCGCGCGGCUGUGGCUUGUGGCCUGGAGCUGUGGCCCCAGGCGCCCUGGGCGACGGGGAGGCGUGGCGAGACCACCUGUCAGCACCACGGAGUUUGGGGGACGCGGCUUUCACCUGUGCCUGCAGAGGGCGGGGCCAGAGGCUGGGCCGGGAUUUGUCGCUGGAAGCUCUAGGUCGCCUACUAUAAAAUGCUUGCAUGGGUCAAUUACCCAAAAGAAGGGUUGACUAAAAAUACCCUAAAGCCUAGACAUUUCUGCAUCUUCUAAUGCGAACGGUCACAAAGGGACUGGCCAAAAUCCAGCCUGUUUCAGAAGAAACACCGAGCCUUCGAAUUUGUUUUCCAGAGACUUGGGAGCAUUUAUAAACGAGAGCUGGAAAAGCAAACGUGGGUCUGCCCUGCUCUAGCUAGCACAGUUUUAAAGGGCUAGUAAGGCAGAGGGCCCAGGCAGACGGGAGUAAAGUUGCAAGCAAGGCGACGAAAGAAGAUAGUGCCACCUACGGGAGAAGCGUGGUUCUGACGGCAGCCUUUGACCUAGGGACCAGUGUCAUACUUAGUUCAUCUUUGAAGUCUUGCUGUUCAGCAUGAUUUUGCAUUUUUUGCUUCUCUUGGUGUUUGCUUAGCAAAUAAUAUCCCUGGAAAACAACUAAAAUGUUCAGGUGUUUGAACGAUGAUUGAUUCCAAAAGGGUCAGCUCCAUACUUACAAGGGCAGAAGAGGAUUUCUGACUAUUGUUUUAUUAUAGUAGGUAUCCCCGAAGAGCCUACGUUUAUGUCAUUUCGAUGACGCUUCUAGAAGAAGUAAGAUAAAUUACCAGACAGCCCAGUAAGUAAAGCACCUUUUGCAAGCUUGAGAGACAGUGUGACUCCACAGUGCCCACGUCUACUUCCAGAAGCCUCCCGGAAGCCCGCCUAGCCAAGACAGUGUGCUGCAAAGUUAGAGAAAGACUGUCUUUAAAAAUAGGGUGAGAAAAACAUAAGACACACAACGUGGGGGUGGGGGGGUGGGGGAGUACCCACAUCAGAUAAAUUUAUAGAAGCAUUAGAGCUGUCUAUUUCAUGAAUUGGAAAACAUUUGCAAAUCUCUGCAUAAAUUAUAUGGUCACUUUUCACCCAACCAUUCAAUGAGUAUGUAUGGGACACUUAUUCUGUGCUGGGUCCUCAAGAAGGAAUGCUAAAGACAGAUGGCAAUCUUCAUCCAACAUGGAAGCUUAUA